GAUGAACGCUGGCGGCGUGCUUAACACAUGCAAGUCGAACGGUGAAGCAGAGCUUGCUCUGUGGAUCAGUGGCGAAGGGGUGAGUAACACGUGAGCAACCUGCCCUUGACUCUGGGAUAAGCGCUGGAAACGGCGUCUAAUACUGGAUAUGAGCUGCGAUCGCAUGGUCAGCAGUUGGAAAGAUUUUUCGGUCUGGGAUGGGCUCACGGCCUAUCAGCUUGUUGGUGAGGUAAGGGCUCACCAAGGCGUCGACGGGUAGCCGGCCUGAGAGGGUGACCGGCCACACUGGGACUGAGACACGGCCCAGGCUCCUACGGGAGGCAGCAGUGGAGAAUAUUGCACAAUGGGCGAAAGCCUGAUGCAGCAACGCCGCGUGAGGGAUGACGGCCUUCGGGUUGUAAACCUCUUUUAGCAGGGAAGAAGCGAAAGUGACGGUACCUGCAGAAAAAGCGCCGGCUAACUACGUGCCAGCAGCCGCCGUAAUAC
rnacentral:rRNA from 1 species